rnacentral:rRNA from 1 species
GACGAACGCUGGCGGCGUGCUUAACACAUGCAAGUCGAACGGAAAGACCCUGCUUUUGUGGGGUGCUCGAUUGCCGAACGCGUGAGUAACACGUGAGUAACCUGCCCUUGUCUUUCGGGUAACAUCACGAAACUCGGGCUCAUACCGGAUAUGAGCUCCUGCUGCAUGGUGGGGGUUAGAAAGUUUCGGCGGUUGGGGAUGGAUGCGCGGCUUAUCCGCUAGUUGGUGGGGUAGUGGCUUACCAAGGCUUUGACGGGUAGCCGGCCUGAGAGGGUGACCGGCCACAUUGCGCCUGAGAUACGGCCCAGAAUCCUACGGGAGGCAGCAGUGGGGAACAUUGCACAAUGGGCGGAAGCCUGAGGCAGCAACGCCGCGUGCGGGAUGACGGCCUUCGGGUUGUAAACCGCUUUCGCCUGUGACGAAGCGGGAGUGACGGUAACGGGUAAAGAAGCACCGGCUAACUACGUG